GACGAACGCUGGCGGCGUGCCUAAUACAUGCAAGUUGAGCGCUGAAGGUUGGUACUUGUACCAACUGGAUGAGCAGCGAACGGGUGAGUAACGCGUGGGGAAUCUGCCUUUGAGCGGGGGACAACAUUUGGAAACGAAUGCUAAUACCGCAUAAAAACUUUAAACACAAGUUUUAAGUUUGAAAGAUGCAAUUGCAUCACUCAAAGAUGAUCUCGCGUUGUAUUAGCUAGUUGGUGAGGUAAAGGCUCACCAAGGCGAUGAUACAUAGCCGACCUGAGAGGGUGAUCGGCCACAUUGGGACUGAGACACGGCCCAAACUCCUACGGGAGGCAGCAGUAGGGAAUCUUCGGCAAUGGACGAAAGUCUGACCGAGCAACGCCGCGUGAGUGAAGAAGGUUUUCGGAUCGUAAAACUCUGUUGGUAGAGAAGAACGUUGGUGAGAGUGGAAAGCUCAUCAAGUGACGGUAACUACCCAGAAAGGGACGGCUAACUACGUG
rnacentral:rRNA from 1 species